GGUUCAGCAUGUCUAGUAUAGCAAUUUAUACGGUGAAACUGCGAAUGGCUCAUUAAAUCAGUUAUCGUUUAUUUGAUAGUACCUUACUACAUGGAUACCUGUGGUAAUUCUAGAGCUAAUACAUGCUAAAAACCUCGACUUCGGAAGGGGUGUAUUUAUUAGAUAAAAAACCAAUGCCCUUCGGGGCUCCUUGGUGAAUCAUAAUAACUUAACGAAUCGCAUGGCCUUGCGCCGGCGAUGGUUCAUUCAAAUUUCUGCCCUAUCAACUUUCGAUGGUAGGAUAGUGGCCUACCAUGGUGGCAACGGGUAACGGGGAAUUAGGGUUCGAUUCCGGAGAGGGAGCCUGAGAAACGGCUACCACAUCCAAGGAAGGCAGCAGGCGCGCAAAUUACCCAAUCCCGACACGGGGAGGUAGUGACAAUAAAUACUGAUACGGGGCUCUUUUGGGUCUCGUAAUUGGAAUGAGUACAAUCUAAAUCCCUUAACGAGGAACAAUUGGAGGGCAAGUCUGGUGCCAGCAGCCGCGGUAAUUCCAGCUCCAAUAGCGUAUAUUAAAGUUGUUGCAGUUAAAAAGCUCGUAGUUGAACCUUGGGUCUGGCUGGCCGGUCCGCCUCACCGCGAGUACUGGUCCGGCUGGACCUUUCCUUCUGGGGAACCUCAUGGCCUUCACUGGCUGUGGGGGGAACCAGGACUUUUACUGUGAAAAAAUUAGAGUGUUCAAAGCAGGCCUUUGCUCGAAUACAUUAGCAUGGAAUAAUAGAAUAGGACGUGCGGUUCUAUUUUGUUGGUUUCUAGGACCGCCGUAAUGAUUAAUAGGGAUAGUCGGGGGCGUCAGUAUUCAGCUGUCAGAGGUGAAAUUCUUGGAUUUGCUGAAGACUAACUACUGCGAAAGCAUUCGCCAAGGAUGUUUUCAUUAAUCAGGGAACGAAAGUUAGGGGAUCGAAGACGAUCAGAUACCGUCGUAGUCUUAACCAUAAACUAUGCCGACUAGGGAUCGGGCGGUGUUUCUAUGAUGACCCGCUCGGCACCUUACGAGAAAUCAAAGUUUUUGGGUUCUGGGGGGGAGUAUGGUCGCAAGGCUGAAACUUAAAGAAAUUGACGGAAGGGCACCCCAAGGGGUGGAACCUGCGGGUUUAAUUUGACUCCACACCGGGGAAAAUUCCCCAGGGCCCAACAAAAAAAAGGAUUGGACAAAUUGGAAAACUCUUUCUCUGAACUUUUUGGAAGGGGGGGGCAUGGCCCGUCUUUAUUUGUGGGGAAGGAAUUUUUUGGGGUUAAUAUGGGAA
rnacentral:rRNA from 1 species